rnacentral:rRNA from 1 species
UACGAAGGUUGCAAGCGUUACUCGGAAUUACUGGGCGUAAAGCGUGCGUAGGUGGUGAGUUAAGUCUGUCGUGAAAGCCCCGGGCUCAACCUGGGAAUGGCGAUGGAUACUGGCUCGCUAGAGUGCGGUAGAGGAGAGUGGAAUUCCCGGUGUAGCAGUGAAAUGCGUAGAGAUCGGGAGGAACAUCAGCGGCGAAGGCGGCUCUCUGGACCAGCACUGACACUGAGGCACGAAAGCGUGGGGAGCAAACAGG